rnacentral:tRNA from 1 species
GCCCGGGUGGCUCAGCGGUUGAGCGUCUGCCUGAGGCCCAGGGUGUGAUCCUGGAGUCUUGGGAUCGAGUCCCACGUCGGGCU